GUUUCACUAGGCCAGUACCUGUGGGCUGCUUCUCUAGCAGAGAAAUACUGUGACUUUGAUAUAUUGGUACAAAUGUGUGAGCAGACUGACAACCAGAGCCGACUCCAGCGCUACAUGACCCAGUUUGCUGAUCAGAAUUUUUCAGACUUUCUCUUCCGUUGGUAUCUGGAGAAAGGAAAGCGAGGCAAAUUAUUAUCUCAGCCCAUUUCUCAGCAUGGACAGUUGGCAAAUUUUUUGCAAGCUCAUGAACAUCUCAGCUGGUUACAUGAAAUUAAUAGCCAAGAAUUAGAAAAGG
rnacentral:lncRNA from 1 species